CUUGGAGGACUUCUUUUCUGCUCCUCUCUGGAACAGUGUGCGAUAGGAACCUAAGGCCUUCAGCAGGGUCACAGACUGCCAGUGUAAAUUAAAACAACUUGAACUCAGCGUAUGGUAGAAGAAGCACAUAAAUGUGCACCAGGAGUGGAGCAGUGAAAGUGACUCCUUUAAGCCACUGUUAUAUUCCAUCCAUUAACCUGCACUUUCUCCAGUCUGGGAGUACUUGAGCAGUCCCACCAUGUCUACUCCUGUUUGCUCAAAAGGAUCAUCUGAAUGGAAAGGGCACUAAUGGAGCUUUGACACUACUUUGGAAGACACUAAUGUGAGUCAGGAGGCACAUAAGUUGGCUACUUCUCUGUAUAUUCCCAGCCAUAAAAGAAAAUAUUGUGUGAAUUUAAUGCUCCUGAAAAAUAAGGGUGUGAUGGCACUUGCCUGAGCCAGCCAUAAAGCAGACUGAAAUUGAACAAGCCCAUCAUUUUAAAGCUCUGCCAAGGCACCAUGAUUCUGACCUGCAGGACCCUGCUAUUGUCCUGGACCUCUUGAGUGAAAAUCUUCUAUUGUGCCAAAAUAGUAUGGUGAUUUUGUGAAGCACGGAGACCAGGCUGAGACAACUAAGCUCAUAUUCAUGCUUGUGGCCUCAUCAGAAUUUGAAUCUUGGUCUCCAGAGAUCCUCUAGCUUCCUUAAAUUUCAUUUUUGUGAAUAAUGAAGAUAGUUUUGAGUUUUACAAGCAGAGAAAUGUCUUAAACCAAUAAACAUUUUAUAUCUGUGUCAAAAGAUGCUUAAAAACAGCCAACCCAUGUUUUUUUUAAAAAGUAGGGGGGAAAAAUACCUAUUCUAUGCCAAGUUCCUGAAGUCUGAGCAAAUUUUUACAGAUGAGUUAUAAACCCCAGACUAAUGGAGAUUUAAUGGAAGCGCUGACACAACCAAAACUAGAACAGCACAAAUGUACUGCUACAAUAACCUGAACUCUUCAAACCUUACUCAGUGCAGUUUCCUGUAAAAUGACUCAUUCUUCUUACUACCAUCCCCCAUUCCUUCUUUUAGAGCACAGGAAUAAUAAAUUCCAUAAUGAUGUACUUGUGGGAAUUAAAAAUAGGAGAUUUGAAAAUAUACUUGCUCUUCCUUCUCCUAAAUGCUUUCACAGAAUGAAUUUGGCAGGACAUCUUGGCAGAAUGGCAGAUUGUUGGGACUGUACUCUCUGGGAAACAAACAAACAAACAAACAAACAAACAAACAAAAAAGGCUAUCGGUGCAAAAUUCAGGCUUGCUUUGAUCUGGUUCUGAGGCUGGAGAGGUGGCUUGAUUCCACACAGCUGAGCCACAGGAUCAUUUGUCUCUACUUUCAACAAAUAAUGUGUUGUUUUUAUCAUGAAACUUAGAAGAAGAUACUUGUACUAUAAUCAACCAACUGCUAUUUUUAUCUUCAUUAAAGAGACCUCAGUCACUUAUUUAUUCAUUGACAUUUUGCAAAGAAAAAAUUUGGACCUGAUACAUGUAUCAUUUUUGAGUCAUAGUUUCUGAACGUUAUCUCAGCCUUGGAAGAUGAAUCAGUGGGGAUAUAUAUUGAUGGAAACCCUACUAUGUGUCUGGGGAUUACCAUAUUUUGCAGGAUGUGGUCAGUGUGAAAAGGCUAAUUUUAAUCAACAAAUUAGAGCCAGUGAAAACCUCCAUAGGUGAGGGGAAAUCUGUGAGUAUGAUCAAAAACAUGCUUCUGAUUCACGACUAAAUAACGGACUACAGGGAGGUACAUCUGUAAAUUAUACAGGAAGCUUUCUUCAGCAACUGAUUCACCCUGACAGUUUUACUGGAGUAUAUGAAAAUUAGUAUUAAAGAUGUGAUAUGUAGGCUUCUUUCCAGGAAUUCCAAUCUGGUUUCAAUAAAAUGGAAACACUGAUUGGAAGUGAAGUUGCCUUCCGGUUUUGCCUUUGGCUAUUAUGUGUUCAUUCGCAAAAUGACUGAAUUCCACAACUACUUUUAAUAUUCACCUUUUGAGUUCAUCUCCCACACUGGACACAUUGGAAUGAUUAAAAUAGCACUGCCUCCUGAUGCCGGAUUCUCUUUAAUUUGAAACAGCCUAGGUGCUGAGAAAAAAAUGAAUGCUCUUGUUAAGUCCAUCCUUUCUUUGCAUCAAGUUGCUUCAAUGCACAUCUAGAAUAGAAUAUUAAUACAGCAGUAUGAAAAAAAUAUAGUGCUUCCUGAGUAGCUGCCAGGAAAAAUAAAGAUGAAAAUUUGG